CAGUGCCGGUCAGAUCUAAUUAAUUUAUGCUGCAUAAACUGGGCCGACUGGCUCACCUUCCCCACUGGGUGUGUCGGAUAAAAUAGAGAAGCGUAACCGUGACUCCGCAUUUUAUGCGGCCCCGCUUCAGACUGAAAGUUUACAGCUGUGCUCCGGGCUCAUACGAACCAACUGCAGAACCAUGGCUGCAGUCACCAUUGAAUACUGUAAAGGAUGAAGUUACGCGUUCCGCUACCAGGAACUGGCCGGUCACAUCAGGCAGAUUCCUGGUGUGCAGGUGACGGGAGUCAAAGGGAAACCAAACAGCUUUGAGGUGUCAGUGAAUGGUCAGCUGAUCUUCUCCAAGCUUAAGACGGGAUCGUUUCCUGAUCCUGAAGAGGUGACAGAAAUGGUGAAGGAGAUGGUCCAAGGAGAAAAACAGGCGAAAACUUCAAAACAUCAGAAGAACAAAUGCACUCAUCAUUAGAGGAUGGGAGGAU